UUGGGGGGAAUCCCUGUCCUACUUGUUGUCGAAGCACUUUAUCGAACAAGCAAAACCGUCUCGGCAAUAUGGCCAAGGUGUAUGGGAGAGUUCACUAUUUGAUAUGGCUGUCUGUAGGGCCUACUAAACGCAUACGGCUCCUUUUAAAUGCUUCUGCAUAAUUGAAUUGUACGUCAUGAGCGACCAAAGCGAACAGAAAAAUUCGUAGGGAAACUUUGUGAGCGACCAAAGCGUCUUCGCUCCUGGUGUGGACGUACAGUAGGACUCUGUCUGAGGAGAGCUGCUGGAGGAGCUGAGACGCUGGAGGAUGACUAGGAAUCGACCAACAAGGAUUCCUCAACGUGUUCCUGGAGAGGAGGCGAGCUGGUAGGGGAGCCGUGAAUCUGGAGGAUGAACAUCACUCUACAAACAAGGAUUACCACGACUCUGGCUGUGGAGAGCUGAUGGAGGAGCCAAGACUCUGGAGGACGACAUCGCUCCACCAACCAGGAUCCUCAGACAAAUUGCGUUUCUAACCAGACCAGGAAUCUGGAGGAUGGAGAUGGAGAAGCCGUACAUCUGGAAGGAAAAUCCUGAGGAUCACCAGCACUCUACCAUCAAGGAUUCCUCAUAAGUUUGCAUUAUCUGGACAUGGUGGACUAGACGCACCUGAGCUGAACCUCACCUGAUCCUGUUUGGUCGGGGGUAGACACACCUGAACUAAACCCGCCCUGAUCCUGACAUCCUGCUGGUCCCGUCUCCUCAGUUCAUCUGAGCCUUGUCCUCCAGAAGACCUGCUGAGCUCAGCAGUCUGAGGCUGAUGGAUCACUGACCUCCAGUGGGAGUGAUCUUCUUGACCUCACUACUUCACUACUCUCUACUGCUUCCUCUUUUCUUCCUUCUCUCUGGUUCAAAUCUUUACACUGAAGGCGCGUCUUCCUGCCCUCAGAGAGUUUAGCGUUAGGGUUGAGAGUCAGGGUUUAGAGUCAGGGACAGAGCUGGUCAGGGAGGACUGCUUUUACACAAACCUCUUCACUUGCUUUCGGAAUGGUGGUGACAUUUCGAAAAGAUUAACUUGGAAAAUGUUUUCCUCUGCUUUCCUUUAUAAUAUUGUAUUACAUUUCUGUCAAGUGUUUUUGUUUUCAUAUAUUAAAAUCCCACAUUGACUUCUA